GAUGAACGCUGGCGGCGUGCCUAAUACAUGCAAGUCGAGCGAACGGACGAGAAGCUUGCUUCUCUGAUGUUAGCGGCGGACGGGUGAGUAACACGUGGAUAACCUACCUAUAAGACUGGGAUAACUUCGGGAAACCGGAGCUAAUACCGGAUAAUAUUUUGAACCGCAUGGUUCAAAAGUGAAAGACGGUCUUGCUGUCACUUAUAGAUGGAUCCGCGCUGCAUUAGCUAGUUGGUAAGGUAACGGCUUACCAAGGCAACGAUGCAUAGCCGACCUGAGAGGGUGAUCGGCCACACUGGAACUGAGACACGGUCCAGACUCCUACGGGAGGCAGCAGUAGGGAAUCUUCCGCAAUGGGCGAAAGCCUGACGGAGCAACGCCGCGUGAGUGAUGAAGGUCUUCGGAUCGUAAAACUCUGUUAUUAGGGAAGAACAUAUGUGUAAGUAACUGUGCACAUCUUGACGGUACCUAAUCGGAAAGCCACGGCUAACUACGUGCCAGCAGCCGCGGUAAUACGUAGGUGGCAAGCGUUAUCCGGAAUUAUUGGGCGUAAAGCGCGCGUAGGCGGUUUUUUAAGUCUGAUGUGAAAGCCCACGGCUCAACCGUGGAGGGUCAUUGGAAACUGGAAAACUUGAGUGCAGAAGAGGAAAGUGGAAUUCCAUGUGUAGCGGUGAAAUGCGCAGAGAUAUGGAGGAACACCAGUGGCGAAGGCGACUUUCUGGUCUGUAACUGACGCUGAUGUGCGAAAGCGUGGGGAUCAAACAGGAUUAGAUACCCUGGUAGUCCACGCCGUAAACGAUGAGUGCUAAGUGUUAGGGGGUUUCCGCCCCUUAGUGCUGCAGCUAACGCAUUAAGCACUCCGCCUGGGGAGUACGACCGCAAGGUUGAAACUCAAAGGAAUUGACGGGGACCCGCACAAGCGGUGGGGCAUGUGGUUUAAUUCGAAGCAACGCGAAGAACCUUACCAAAUCUUGACAUCCUUUAACAACUCUAGAGAUAGAGCCUUCCCCUUCGGGGGACAAAGUGACAGGUGGUGCAUGGUUGUCGUCAGCUCGUGUCGUGAGAUGUUGGGUUAAGUCCCGCAACGAGCGCAACCCUUAAGCUUAGUUGCCAUCAUUAAGUUGGGCACUCUAAGUUGACUGCCGGUGACAAACCGGAGGAAGGUGGGGAUGACGUCAAAUCAUCAUGCCCCUUAUGAUUUGGGCUACACACGUGCUACAAUGGACAAUACAAAGGGCAGCGAAACCGCGAGGUCAAGCAAAUCCCAUAAAGUUGUUCUCAGUUCGGAUUGUAGUCUGCAACUCGACUACAUGAAGCUGGAAUCGCUAGUAAUCGUAGAUCAGCAUGCUACGGUGAAUACGUUCCCGGGUCU
rnacentral:rRNA from 1 species